GAAGGGUGGCAAGCGUUGUUCGGAAUCAUUGGGCUUAAAGCGCGCGGUAGGCGGACUGGAAAGUGUCUUGUGAAAACCCUCGGCUUAACCGAGGAAUUGCUUGGCAAACUUCUAGUCUUGAGGCAAGUAGGGGUACAUGGAACUCUUGGUGGAGCGGUGGAAUGCGUAGAUAUCAAGAGGAACGCCAAUGGUGAAGACAGUGUACUGGGCUUGUACUGACGCUGAGGUGCGAAAGCGUGGGGAGCGAACGGGAUUAGAUACCCCGGUAGUCCACGCCGUAAACGAUGUCUACUAGAUCGUGGGAGUUCUGACACUUUCACGGUCGAAGCAAAAGUGAUAAGUAGACCGCCCGGGGAGUACGGUCGCAAAGGCUA
rnacentral:rRNA from 1 species